rnacentral:misc_RNA from 1 species
AGUCGUAACAAGGUAUCCGUAGGUGAACCUGCGGAUGGAUCAUUACCAAAUAUCCAUAACUUACGUACUGUGAACUUGUUUUGACCAACAGUCAGUCGUGGAAGGCAUCUCACUCUCUAUAACUGUGAGUGGGUGUCCAAAGUGGCUGGCUGUACCCCAAAAUACUAAACGUAUAUACUAUAAUCUACUAUUAACUGACGUGAACAAGUUAUUCAAACUAAAAACAACUUUUAGCAAUGGAUCUCUUGGCUCUC